AGAGUUUGAUCAUGGCUCAGAAUCAACGCUGGCGGCGCGCCUAACACAUGCAAGUCGAACGAGAAAGUGGAGCAAUCCAUGAGUAAAGUGGCGUACGGGUGAGUAACACGUGGGUGAUCUACCUCUUAGUGAGGAAUAACCCUGGGAAACCGGGGCUAAUACCGCAUAAGCCUUAGCAGGGAAAGUCGAAAGACGCUGAGAGAGGAGCCCGCGGCCGAUUAGCUAGUUGGUGAGGUAAGAGCCCACCAAGGCAGAGAUCGGUAGCCGGCCUGAGAGGGCACACGGCCACACUGGCACUGAAACACGGGCCAGACUCCUACGGGAGGCAGCAGUGGGGAAUCUUGCACAAUGGGGGAAACCCUGAUGCAGCGACGCCGCGUGAGCGAUGAAGCCCUUCGGGGUGUAAAGCUCUUUCGGCAGGGAAGAUAGUGACGGUACCUGCAGAAGCAGCUGCGGCUAACUACGUGCCAGCAGCCGCGGUAAUACGUAGGCAGCAAGCGUUGUUCGGAGUUACUGGGCGUAAAGGGUGUGUAGGCGGUUCUUUAAGUUUGGUGUGAAAUCUCCCGGCUCAACCGGGAGGGUGCGCCGAAUACUGAGGGACUAGAGUGUGGGAGAGGAAAGUGGAAUUCCUGGUGUAGCGGUGAAAUGCGUAGAUAUCAGGAGGAACACCGGUGGUGUAGACGGCUUUCUGGACCAUAACUGACGCUGAGACACGAAAGCGUGGGUAGCAAACAGGAUUAGAUACCCUAGUAGUCC
rnacentral:rRNA from 1 species